ACCGAUUCGGAAGCGUCGCUUUCCACGGUCGAAGCGUCGUGGCGAUACGAGUGACAGCUGUCACCAUCAGAAUGCGAGCUGUCACAUAUCUAUUUCCGGUUCUCAGUUAGCACAUUUUCAGUAAAGGUGAAGUGCGAAGAUCACGAUUGCUGAAGAAAUCGUCCAUUAGUUUUCCUAUAUUAAUCCAGUAUACAGAAAAGUAUUAUCUUUUGCUUUCGCUGAAGUGUUUUUGCUUUCACUGAACGACUAGUGCAGUGAUUCGCAGUAAGUUAGUGACCAUUCCACAUAGCCCAGUCAGUGUCCGAGUCCGAUUCAUAGUCAGGUGCUCCGUCGUUCAUUGUUUAUGCGGUAACGAAAAGUAAGCACUAGAAAUUUGUAAAGAAAAUGUUCCAUACUAAAAUUAAACACUUCAGGUCGUCGGUCCUCAGUACUCGAUUGAGGUUAGAAAAGGGCGUGCAAGAAGCCUAAAGUUCACCGAAUUGUAAGUACUAAUAAAAUACGUAACGCAGUGAGAAAAUACUAACCAUAACCAUGUUACAGUUUGAAGCAACAACAACAACACCACAUCGCAUAUUAAAGAAUUUGCUAUCAAAACCGGUACGACUUUCAAUCACGCCCAACAGCCCCGACACAAUUUAUUUCGAACUUUUUUUUGGUUUACGCAAAAUUGUGACUACUAACAACGCCUGGUAUUUUUUUGGUACCAAACAAAGCUUUAACAACAAUUUAGGAGCCAUUUGUAGUCUCAAAAAUGGCUAAUUUUGACCGCGUGAAGAAAAUUAGCUCAAACUUAUUGUAAAAUUUAUAGAUUUGGUAAUAUUUUAAGAAAUAAUCAAAUUCUGGGUUGACAUGAGCUGAACUACACAGUUUAUAUUAUGAGUUAAGCCCCAAUCCACUCUAAAAUCUCUUUUCCGGCUUUUUGUCGAAGUCAAAAGAAGAAAAGUACCCUAAACGGGCAGUGGCAAGAAUAUUGCCACCAGCGCUGGUGGCCUAAACGGGCAGUGGCAACUAUAUUGCCACCUCAAAAGCUCGUUUUUGGGGUUAACGGGCAGUGGCAACUAUAUUGCCACCUAGGUUUUUGAUAGUUUCUUUCAAACAAAAAUUGUUUUGUACAUGUAAUCAUGUAUAUAAUCAUUUCCAUAAUAGUAUGCAUUGCCAACUCUUCUAGUUUUCUCGGCCUUAUAAAGGGUUAAUAAGGGAACCAAUACCCUAUGCCGCUUCGUACCUACCCGAAGCUUGAUAAAAGUGACACCGCCAAUGUGUGAAUCACAAUCAAACUUUUGGUAUGAUUCUGUUUGCAAUAUAAUACAACUUGUUUUUAAAAGCGAUAUCAGUGAUUCUUCUUCAGAUAAACAUAAAAA